rnacentral:tRNA from 1 species
AUCUUUUGAGUAUGAUCAGUACAUUUGCCUUCCAAGCAAAAAGUUUAAAUAAUUUUAAAAAAGAUACUUCUAGUAUUAUCUAGCGGUGUUAGGGCACUAAGA